rnacentral:rRNA from 1 species
UACGGAGGAUGCAAGCGUUAUCCGGAAUGAUUGGGCGUAAAGCGUCCGCAGGUGGCUGUGUAAGUCUGCUGUUAAAGAGUGAGGCUCAACCUCAUAAAGGCAGUGGAAACUACAUGGCUAGAGUGCGUUCGGGGCAGAGGGAAUUCCUGGUGUAGCGGUGAAAUGCGUAGAGAUCAGGAAGAACACCGGUGGCGAAAGCGCCCUGCUAGGCCGCAACUGACACUGAGCGACGAAAGCUAGGGGAGCGAAUGGG